CGGGGUGUGGCUCAAUAGGUGGAGUGCCGGAGUGCAACCCGGAGAUCGGAGGUUCGAGUCCUCCCAUCCCGACCA
rnacentral:tRNA from 2 species